UACGGAGGGUGCGAGCGUUGUCCGGAAUCACUGGGCGUAAAGGGCGCGUAGGUGGCGCAGGAAGUCAACGGUGAAAGUCCGGGGCUCAACCUCGGAUCGGCCGUGGCGACUCGUGGGCUGGAGCACUGUAGAGGCGGGUGGAAUUCCGGGUGUAGCGGUGAAAUGCGCAGAUAUCAGGAGGAACACCGGUGGCGAAGGCGGGUCUCUGGGCCGAUACUGACGCUGAGGAGCGAAAGCGUGGGGAGCGAACAGG
rnacentral:rRNA from 1 species